CACGGGGAGGGGCGGGGGCGCCACUGACGCAGGCCGCCCGUCGAGCUUUGGCCAUACAAGGGCGCGGGGGGCGGUGCGGUUCCGGCGGGAGGCGGCCAGGGGGAGGUGCGGCCCGGGGAGCCCGAGGGGGCGGGGCGAGGAGGGGGGGCCUGGAAUGUCUGCGCGCGUGACGCACGCGGGGUUCCAUUGACGCAGGGAGCGCGGAUUGUUUGAUCUAUAAAUAGGCUCCUCGCGCCCGCCGCGCCCGCUAAAAAUAGCAGCUCCCAGGCCCACUAGGCUCCCCGCACCGGACUCGGGUCCCAGCUGGGGGCCCCCAGGUCCAGAAUAACCAGCGGGAGGGCCAGAGCCCGAGAAGGGGCGCUGUAGAGACGCGGCCGCGGGGCUUCCCCGGAUGAGGAUCUCCUCACUCUCCAGUUGCUCCCGGGAGCCAACCGCGCCCGGUCCCUCCGGCUCCCUCCGAGCCUAGCCCCGCCUUUACACCUUCCCAAGCCCUUCCUGGAGCCCUAGGGUGUCGCUGCUGCCGCUGCUGGGCGGUCAGGACAGGCCGCGGGCUGAGGCGGGCAAUUCGGACACACCCUGGGGAGCCUGCGCCCUCACCUCAGCCCUAGGCGCAGCUAGUGCACAGGACGCGGCUUCCCCAGCAGGGUCUCAGGCUGAGAGGCUGCCCCUGAGACGUCAGUUAGAGCCCUCGCUUAGUCCCUCCAGGCAGUCUCCCUACACAGGACCUUCCCGAGGGCAGGCGUUGGCCAGGCCCAAGCUCGGCCAACAGCUCUGGCUCCGCUCCACAAGCUGAACUUGGUUUCGCACCGUCCCCUCCCCAGCCCCUUACAGGGGGAGUGCACCCUAGUUGGGAAAUUACCGAAUUUCAGAACCGGGUGGAGCCUGAGAAAUCUUUUCAAACUUGUGCCAACUCUUCCUCAUUUUAUAAACAAACAGGCUCAGAGAAAUAAUGGCACUUGCUGAAGGUCACACAGCCAGGUGGUGGCACACUGGGUUGGAACCCAGGGCCACAGACUGCAUCUCUAGGGAUCUCUCCACGCCUCUUAUCAAUACCCCUCCCCCUGUCCACAUCAGGGAGCACCGGCCCUCCCAGCCUACCUCCAGCACCUGUGGGGAGGCAGCUCUGACCAGUUAUCACCUGCCCGGUGGAGUGAGGAACAGCCCGCCAGGGCCCUGCUGGGCACAGACCAGGCUUCAGCCACCUGGAGCCUUCCCUGGUUUGGCCGUCACCCUUCCACCCUGAUCUCUCCUGAGCCUGGGGAGCCCUCACGGAAAAGUAAGAGAAGAGGGAAGGGCAAAAAAACAAAAACAAGGAAAAGAGAGCCCUGCCACCCCACUGCGACCCCCAUCCAUUCCCCUUCUCCCAUGCCAGAAGAAAUUAACAUACAGCAUAAAAGAAUAAGAUCAGACUUCAGGAAGAACCACCAGACGGGGCUGGAAAACACAGACAAGAUCACGGAGUUCCUUUGGGAAAGGUUGCCCCACGCCUUGAACCUCCCUCAGUUUCCCUCUCAGUCUCUUCAGCUCCUGGCCAGCUCUCUUCUCCUCUCGCCUUGGAGGGUCUCCCACCACCUUGCAGAACAUCAGCACCCACCAAAUUCCCUUGCCUCUGCCCAAGGUCUCCACCCAGCCUACGUGGGCAAAAUUUCAAAUUCCAAAAUAAAAACUCUCUGAUAACGAGUCCCAGCCGGAAA
rnacentral:lncRNA from 1 species